UUCUGGCUCAGGAUGAACGCUGGCGGCGUGCUUAACACAUGCAAGUCGAACGAAGCCAAAAGGAAGCUUGCUUCUUGAAGCUUAGUGGCGGACGGGUGAGUAACGCGUGAGUAACCUGCCCUUCAGUGGGGAAUAACACAGAGAAAUCUGUGCUAAUACCGCAUAACGUCUUCUUGCCGCAUGACAGGAAGACCAAAGGAUUUAUUCGCUGAAGGAUGGACUCGCGUCCGAUUAGCUAGUUGGUGAGGUAACGGCCCACCAAGGCGACGAUCGGUAGCCGAACUGAGAGGUUGAUCGGCCACAUUGGGACUGAGACACGGCCCAGACUCCUACGGGAGGCAGCAGUGGGGAAUAUUGGGCAAUGGGGCCGAAAGCCUGACCCAGCAACGCCGCGUGAAGGAAGACGGUCUUCGGAUUGUAAACUUCUUUGAUUGGGGAAGAACAAAAUGACCUACCCAAAGAACAAGUCACGGCUAACUACGUGCCAGCCGCCGC
rnacentral:rRNA from 1 species